rnacentral:lncRNA from 1 species
UGUGUGUGUGUUCACACUGUUGUGUGUGUGUGUGUGUGUGUGUGUGUGUGUGUGUGUGUUCAGGCCUCACGCUUACGCUCACCUGGACAUUCCCAGCCCGCGGUACCUGGGUCCGGCCAUCUCGUCCGGCGCUGUGUAUCUGGCCUCGUCCUUCCAGAACAAGCUGCGAGUGAUCUGCUGCAAAGGAAACCUGAGUCAGGAGACAUCGAGUGCAGAGCCGCAGAGAAACGGCUCCACGCGCAGCCCGAACAAGCGCGGUCCUCCCACCUACAACGAGCACA